AGCUGUCAAAUAAAGUUCUAGGUAGAAUUAUGAUGAUGACAUUGUUCACCUAUGUGUCUUGACCAAAUUACGUGCCAGCAGUCGCGGUAAUACGUAAAAGACUAGUGUUACUCAUCUUGAAUAGGUUUAAAGGGUACCUAGACGGCCAAUCAAGCCCCAAAAGGGUACUAAUGGGCUAGAGUUUAAUAUAAGUAGGCUUUAAAGUACUGAGAAUGUUGAGAGAUGAAAUUCUGUGAUACUAUAUACGGCACUGGUAAAGGCGAAAGCAUCUUAUUAUGUAAAAACUGACGUUGAGGGACGAAGGCUGUGUGUAGCAAAAAGGAUUAGAUACCCAAGUAGUCUCAGCAGAAAAUGAUGAAUGUCAUAGUGUAGAGAAAUUUUGUACUAUAAAUGAAAGUGUAAGCAUUCCACCUUAAGAGUAAUUUGGCAACAUUGGAACUGAAAUCAUUAGACCGUUUCUGAAACAAGUAGUGAAGUAUGUUGUUUAAUUUGAUGGUCCGCAAAAAACCUUACCACAAUUUGAAUAUAAAAUAUUUAUACAAGCGCUGCACGGUUGUCUUCAGUUAAUGUCGUGAGAUUCUGGUUAGUUCCAUUAAAUUAAC
rnacentral:rRNA from 1 species